rnacentral:tRNA from 1 species
GUUGGUGUAGCUCAGUGGUGGAGAGCAUGCUUUGGAUGUAUGAUGUACUGGGUUCAAUCCCCAGCUUCCCCC